rnacentral:rRNA from 1 species
CAGCAGCCGCCGCGGUAAUACGAAGGGGGCUAGCGUUGUUCGGAUUUACUGGGCGUAAAGCGCACGUAGGCGGACUUUUAAGUCAGGGGUGAAAUCCCGGGGCUCAACCCCGGAACUGCCUUUGAUACUGGAAGUCUUGAGUAUGGUAGAGGUGAGUGGAAUUCCGAGUGUAGAGGUGAAAUUCGUAGAUAUUCGGAGGAACACCAGUGGCGAAGGCGGCUCACUGGACCAUUACUGACGCUGAUGUGCGAAAGCGUGGGGAGCAAACAGGAUUAGAUACCCCCGUAGUCCUGUCUCUUAUACA